UGGGGAAUAUUGGACAAUGGGCGCAAGCCUGAUCCAGCCAUGCCGCGUGAGUGAUGAAGGCCCUAGGGUUGUAAAGCUCUUUCACCGGUGAAGAUAAUGACGGUAACCGGAGAAGAAGCCCCGGCUAACUUCGUGCCAGCAGCCGCGGUAAUACGAAGGGGGCUAGCGUUGUUCGGAUUUACUGGGCGUAAAGCGCACGUAGGCGGACUUUUAAGUCAGGGGUGAAAUACCGGGGCUCAACCCCGGAACUGCCUUUGAUACUGGAAGUGUUGAGUAUGGUAGAGGUGAGUGGAAUUCCGAGUGUAGAGGUGAAAUUCGGAGAUAUUCGGAGGAACACCAGUGGCGAAAGCGGCUCACUGGACCAUUACUGACGCUGAGGUGCGAAAGCGUGGGGAGCAAACAGG
rnacentral:rRNA from 1 species